ensembl:processed_transcript Gm27230 predicted gene 27230
AUGGCUCAACUCCAGCAGCUUGUGCCUGGUGAGACUGGGUUCUGUGGCCUGCUUUCCAGGGCUUCCGUGUAGUCUGGAAUCAGCUAAUGAGAACUGAGAUGAGCAGGAUUAUUUGCGUACAGAGUACAGCCAGCAAAAGACCCACCUGGAUUUUCCCAGCUUGGAUGAGUUGCUUUGUGACAGCCGUGUUUCUCUCCUGUGCACUUUGCUCGCCUAAGUUCCUACACAAACACUCCCCUCUUUCUUCACAGCUCUCAACAGGGAAGUAUGCCUUUCUGGAGCUAAAACAGGAGGGCACCACAAAGCACUGCAUGGAGGCAUCAGCAGACAGCCGAGGAGAGGGAAGAGAACGCCUCUUGUCACCUCUGAAGCCUUGAAGUUGUGUGUAGGUGCAUUAACCUGCAUUGGCUAUUCAACAACACACCAUUCACAUGGUAUAACAAUAAAAAAAAAAAGUGCUAACACUCCACAGCCAGGAAGAAGGAAAACAUCUGAAGAUGGUAGGUAUUCACCCGCUAGCUCUCUGUCUUAUCAGGCUCCAUUUGCUUAACAGGGAAGUAUCCAAACAUUUAAGUAUGCAAAUGUGUAAAGCCAAAUGAGACAUCAUUUCAUUCUGUUAUUGUCUUACAGUGAAAGGGAGCAAAUGAGCAAGCCGAUGGACGGCUUCGUGCCAAUUAUCUUCACUACGUUGUCUUUUAUGCGAAGGUAUUGCCGAAAGCAAACCCCCACAUUCUAGCGGCAGCAGUAACAUGAAUAUUUUAGGGGCUGUGCGAUUUCUUUUGUGGGUUAUGGCUGGAAAUAAAAAUUUUAGGUUGCAAGUGCUUUGGCAAAUAUGUAAUAAACUGCCAAGGCUAAAA